UACGUAGGGGGCGAGCGUUGUCCGGAUUCAUUGGGCGUAAAGAGCUCGUAGGCGGCUCAGUAAGUCGAGUGUGAAACCUCCAGGCUCAACCUGGAGCCUGCACUUGAUACUGCUGUGGCUUGAGUCCGGUAGGGGACCACGGAAUUCCUGGUGUAGCGGUGAAAUGCGCAGAUAUCAGGAAGAACACCUAUGGCGAAGGCAGCUCUCUGGGACGGUACUGACGCUGAGACGCGAAAGCAUGGGGAGCGAACAGG
rnacentral:rRNA from 1 species